rnacentral:lncRNA from 1 species
GUGAAGGUGCAGAAGUAGCACGACGGCGAGCCAUUGAACCUGAGGUUAGCUCACGCAAUCUCUCUCAUCUCUGUCGUUCAUCCCUCUCUCCUCUCUGACUCCUCUUUGUCAUGCUUGUAGAUGGGUGGCACCGGCCUACCGAGGAUGUCGAUGAUGGCUUGUAGAUGGGUGGCACCGGCGUAGCGAGGAGUGGACACUGGCAGGAGAUUCUUGUCAUGCUACUAUGAGCUUAAUUAGUCCCUAUAAUUUUUGUCCUGCAAUUUUUGUCAUGCAGUACAUUGUGGUGUUGAUAAGUACUCUGGAUAACAUAAACCUUGUUGACUGGACAUGACGCUAGGACUGUUGGUUAUGUCAAAUGGAUUGACAAACCAUUGCAGGGGAGGGAAAGAAGUGUCAUAUCUGAAUUAGCUAAGAAGAAUGAGGUGCUGGAGAUGAAGCUGGUGGAGAUAGUUGGUGAAAUAGAAGCAGAGAAGGAGAAGCACAAGAUGGAGAAGAAGAUGACUAGAAGGAUGCAUAGAUACCAGCUUCAAUCUAGAGAUUGGAUGAUUAUGUUUGCUGUGUGCAUGUACUUUGGAUUAGUUGCAAUUGUUUUUGCAAUCUUUGACAGGAAGUGAUGUAUCCAGUUCCUAUUUACGGAGGAGUUAUGUGUACUGAAACAUGAGAAAAGAAUGUAGUAUUUGGUAUUUAAGAAGUGCGGUUUUAUGUCAAAUUCUUAUCUAAUUCUUG